AUUGAACGCUGGCGGCAUGCCUUACACAUGCAAGUCGAACGGUAACGGGUCCUUCGGGAUGCCGACGAGUGGCGAACGGGUGAGUAAUAUAUCGGAACGUGCCCAGUAGUGGGGGAUAACUGCUCGAAAGAGCAGCUAAUACCGCAUACGACCUGAGGGUGAAAGGGGGGGGUCGCAAGACCUCUCGCUAUUGGAGCGGCCGAUAUCAGAUUAGCUAGUUGGUGGGGUAAAGGCCUACCAAGGCAACGAUCUGUAGUUGGUCUGAGAGGACGACCAGCCACACUGGGACUGAGACCCGGCCCAGACACCUACGGGAGGCAGCAGUGGGGAAUUUUGGACAAUGGGCGCAAGCCUGAUCCAGCAAUGCCGCGUGCAGGAAGAAGGCCUUCGGGUUGUAAACUGCUUUUGUCAGGGAAGAGAUCUUCUGGGCUAAUACCCCGGGAGGAUGACGGUACCUGAAGAAUAAGCACCGGCUAACUACGUGCCAGCCGCCGCAGUAA
rnacentral:rRNA from 1 species